ensembl:misc_RNA Metazoa_SRP Metazoan signal recognition particle RNA
GCCAGGCAUGGUGGCUCAUGCCUGUAAUCCCAGCACUUUGGGAGGCUGAGGCGGGUGGAUCACCUGAGGUCAGGAGUUUGAGACCAGCCUGGCCAACAUGGUGAAACCCCGUCUCUA